rnacentral:rRNA from 1 species
GACGAAUGCUGGCGGCGUGCUUAACAAAUGCAAGUCGAACGAUGAACCCGGAGCUUGCUCCGGUGGAUUAGUGGCGAACGGGUGCGUAACACGUGAGUAACCUGCCCUUGACUCUGGGAUAACUGAGGGAAACUGUAGCUAAUACCGGAUACGACCCUCGGCGGCAUCGCCAGGGGGUGGAAAGAAUGUCGGUCAAGGAUGGACUGGCGGCCUAUCAGCUAGUUGGUGAGGUAACGGCUCACCAAGGCGACGACGGGGAGCCGGCCUGAGAGGGUGGUCGGGCGAAGUGGGACUGGGACACUGUACAGACUCGUACAGGAGGCAGCAGAGGGGAAUAAUGCACAAUGGGCGCAAGCCUGAUGCAGCAACGCCGCGUGAGGGAUGACGGCCUUCGGGUUGUAAACCUCCUUUAGUAGGGAAGAAGCGAAAGUGACGGUACCUGCAGAAAAAGCACCGGCUAACUACGUGCCAGCCGCCGCAGUAU